rnacentral:rRNA from 1 species
GCCAGACUCCUACGGGAGGCAGCAGUGGGGGAUAUUGCACAAUGGGGGGAACCCUGAUGCAGCGACGCCGCGUGGGUGAAGGAGUAUUUCGGUAUGUAAAGCCCUAUCGGCAGGGAAGAAGAAAGACGGUACCUGACUAAGAAGCCCCGGCUAACUACGUGCCAGCAGCCGCGGUAAUACGUAGGGGGCGAGCGUUAUCCGGAUUCACUGGGUGUAAAGGGAGCGUAGACGGCCAAGCAAGCCAGGGGUGAAAGCCCGGGGCCCAACCCCGGGACUGCCCUUGGAACUGCAUGGCUGGAGUGCGGGAGGGGCAGGCGGAAUUCCUGGUGUAGCGGUGAAAUGCGUAGAUAUCAGGAGGAACACCGGUGGCGAAGGCGGCCUGCUGGACUGCAACUGACGUUGAGGCCCGAAAGCGUGGGGAGCAAACAGGAUUAGAUACCCUGGUAGC